UACGUAGGGUGCGAGCGUUGUCCGGAAUUAUUGGGCGUAAAGAGCUCGUAGGCGGUGUGUCACGUCGGCCGUGAAAACCUGGGGCUUAACUCUGGGCGUGCGGUCGAUACGGGCAUCACUAGAGUUCGGCAGGGGAGACUGGAAUUCCUGGUGUAGCGGUGAAAUGCGCAGAUAUCAGGAGGAACACCGGUGGCGAAGGCGGGUCUCUGGGCCGAUGACUGACGCUGAGGAGCGAAAGCAUGGGGAGCGAACAGG
rnacentral:rRNA from 1 species